rnacentral:rRNA from 1 species
GAUGAACGCUAGCGGCAGGCCUAAUACAUGCAAGUCGAGGGGUAAAUAUGUAGCAAUAUAUAUGAGACCGGCGCACGGGUGCGUAACACGUAUGCAACCUACCUUUUACUGGGGCAUAGCUCAGAGAAAUCUGAAUUAAUACCCCAUAACACUGCAGAUAGGCAUCUAUUAGCAGUUAAAGCUCCGGCGGUAAAAGAUGGGCAUGCGGAACAUUAGCUAGUUGGUGAGGUAAUGGCUCACCAAGGCUACGAUGUUUAGGGGGUCUGAGAGGAUGAUCCCCCACACUGGUACUGAGACACGGACCAGACUCCUACGGGAGGCAGCAGUAGGGAAUAUUGGUCAAUGGACGCAAGUCUGAACCAGCCAUGCCGCGUGCAGGAUGACUGUCCUAUGGAUUGUAAACUGUCUUUUUUACGGGUAAGAAACCUCUGGAUGCGUCCGGAGCUGACGGUACCGUGAGAACAAGGAU